rnacentral:rRNA from 1 species
UACAGAGGGUGCGAGCGUUAAUCGGAAUUACUGGGCGUAAAGCGCGCGUAGGCGGCUUCGCAAGUCGGGUGUGAAAUCCCCAGGCUUAACCCUGGGAACUGCAUUCGAGACUGCAUUGCUAGAGUAUGGGAGAGGGAAGUGGAAUUUCCGGUGUAGCGGUGAAAAUGCGUAGAUAUCAGGAGGAACACCAAUGGCGAAGGCAGCUCGCUGGGACGUUACUGACGCUGAGACGCGAAAGCGUGGGGAGCAAACAGG